rfam:Candidatus Kaiserbacteria bacterium RIFCSPHIGHO2_02_FTLL_55_20 rifcsphigho2_02_scaffold_11660, whole genome shotgun sequence.
ACCAUCCUUCGGGGUCAGGUGUAAGUCCUAAUCGGCGGUAAUCCUGCAAAGGCGAGCCCGCGAAUCUUAACAAGAUAUGAUCCGGUGAGAUUCCGGAGCCGACCGUAAAGUCGGGAUGAAAGAAGGAUGGC